AACUCAAUGGUCUAAUGGCAAAGUGUUCGCCGCUGAGCCAGAAGGUCCUGGGUUCAAUCCCCGAUUGGGUCG
rnacentral:tRNA from 1 species